UAAGGAGACUGCCGGUGAACAAACCGGAGGAAGGGUGGGGAUGACGUCAAGUCAUCAUGGCCCUUACGGCCUGGGCUACACACGUGCUACAAUGGUCGGUACAAAGGGUUGCCAAGCCGCGAGGUGGAGCUAAUCCCAUAAAACCGAUCGUAGUCCGGAUCGCAGUCUGCAACUCGACUGCGUGAAGUCGGAAUCGCUAGUAAUCGUGAAUCAGAAUGUCACGGUGAAUACGUUCCCGGGCCUU
rnacentral:rRNA from 1 species